rnacentral:rRNA from 1 species
AUUGAACGCUGGCGGCAGGCCUAACACAUGCAAGUCGAACGCGUGGCGGACGGGUGAGUAAUGUCUGGGAAACUGCCUGAUGGAGGGGGAUAACUACUGGAAACGGUAGCUAAUACCGCAUACCAUCAGAUGUGCCCAGAUGGGAUUAGCUUGUUGGUGGGGUAACGGCUCACCAAGGCGACGAUCCCUAGCUGGUCUGAGAGGAGGACCGGCAAAACGGGAACGUAGAAACGGGCCAGACGCCGACGGGAGGAAGCAGGGGGGAAUAGUGCACAAGGGGCGCAAGCCUGAUGCAGCCAUGCCGGGGGUAUGAAGAAGGCCUUCGGGUUGGAAAGUACGUUCAGCGGGGAGGCGUUACCCGCAGAAGAAGCACCGGCUAACUCCGUGCCAGCCGCCGCGGUAAUAC